GAUUAAGUUAUUAAGGGCGCACGGUGGAUGCCUUGGCACUAGAAGCCGACGAAGGACGUUACUAACGACGAUAUGCUUUGGGUAGCUGUAAGUAAGCGUUGAUCCAGAGAUUUCCGAAUGGGGGAACCCAGCACGAGUUAUGUCGUGUUAUCGACAAGUGAAUUCAUAGCUUGUCAGAAGGCAGACCCGGAGAACUGAAACAUCUUAGUACCCGGAGGAAGAGAAAGAAAAAUCGAUUCCCUGAGUAGCGGCGAGCGAAACGGGAAGAGCCCAAACCAAUAAGCUUGCUUAUUGGGGUUGUAGGACACUCUAUACGGAGUUACAAAGGAAUAUAUUAGACGAAUCAUCUGGAAAGUUGAAUCAAAGAAGGUAAUAAUCCUGUAGUUGAAAAUAUAUUCUCUCUUGAGUGGAUCCUGAGUACGACGGAGCACGUGAAAUUCCGUCGGAAUCUGGGAGGACCAUCUCCUAAGGCUAAAUACUCUCUAGUGACCGAUAGUGAACCAGUACCGUGAGGGAAAGGUGAAAAGUACCCCGGAAGGGGAGUGAAAGAGAACUUGAAACCGUGUGCUUACAAGUAGUCAGAGCCCGUUAAUGGGUGAUGGCGUGCCUUUUGUAGAAUGAACCGGCGAGUUACGAUCUGAUGCAAGGUUAAGCAGGAGAUGUGGAGCCGUAGCGAAAGCGAGUCUGAAUAGGGCGUUGAGUAUUUGGUCGUAGACCCGAAACCAGGUGAUCUACCCAUGGUCAGGUUGAAGUUCAGGUAACACUGAAUGGAGGACCGAACCGACUUACGUUGAAAAGUGAGCGGAUGAACUGUGGGUAGCGGAGAAAUUCCAAUCGAACUUGGAGAUAGCUGGUUCUCUCCGAAAUAGCUUUAGGGCUAGCCUCAAGUGAUGAUUAUUGGAGGUAGAGCACUGUUUGGACGAGGGGCCCCUCUCGGGUUACCGAAUUCAGACAAACUCCGAAUGCCAAUUAAUUUAACUUGGGAGUCAGAACAUGGGUGAUAAGGUCCGUGUUCGAAAGGGAAACAGCCCAGACCACCAGCUAAGGUCCCAAAAUAUAUGUUAAGUGGAAAAGGAUGUGGCGUUGCCCAGACAACUAGGAUGUUGGCUUAGAAGCAGCCAUCAUUUAAAGAGUGCGUAAUAGCUCACUAGUCGAGUGACACUGCGCCGAAAAUGUACCGGGGCUAAACAUAUUACCGAAGCUGUGGAUUGUCCGUAGGACAAUGGUAGGAGAGCGUUCUAAGGGCGUUGAAGCAUGAUCGCAAGGACAUGUGGAGCGCUUAGAAGUGAGAAUGCCGGUGUGAGUAGCGAAAGACGGGUGAGAAUCCCGUCCACCGAUUGACUAAGGUUUCCAGAGGAAGGCUCGUCCGCUCUGGGUUAGUCGGGUCCUAAGCUGAGGCCGACAGGCGUAGGCGAUGGAUAACAGGUUGAUAUUCCUGUACCACCUAGCAUCGUUUUAAUCGAUGGGGGGACGCAGUAGGAUAGGCGAAGCGUACGAUUGGAUUGUACGUCCAAGCAGUGAGAUUGAGUGUUAGGCAAAUCCGGCACUCUUAAGAUUGAGCUGUGAUGGGGAGAGGAAAUUGUUUCCUCGAGUCGUUGAUUUCACACUGCCGAGAAAAGCCUCUAGAUAGAUAAUAGGUGCCCGUACCGCAAACCGACACAGGUAGUCAAGAUGAGAAUUCUAAGGUGAGCGAGCGAACUCUCGUUAAGGAACUCGGCAAAAUGACCCCGUAACUUCGGGAGAAGGGGUGCUCUUUAGGGUGCAAGCCCAGAAGAGCCGCAGUGAAUAGGCCCAAGCGACUGUUUAUCAAAAACACAGGUCUCUGCUAAACCGUAAGGUGAUGUAUAGGGGCUGACGCCUGCCCGGUGCUGGAAGGUUAAGAGGAGUAGUUAGCUUCUGCGAAGCUACGAAUCGAAGCCCCAGUAAACGGCGGCCGUAACUAUAACGGUCCUAAGGUAGCGAAAUUCCUUGUCGGGUAAGUUCCGACCCGCACGAAAGGCGUAACGAUUUGGGCACUGUCUCAACGAGAGACUCGGUGAAAUCAUAGUACCUGUGAAGAUGCAGGUUACCCGCGACAGGACGGAAAGACCCCGUGGAGCUUUACUGUAGCCUGAUAUUGAAAUUCGGCACAGCUUGUACAGGAUAGGUAGGAGCCUUUGAAACGUGAGCGCUAGCUUACGUGGAGGCGCUGGUGGGAUACUACCCUAGCUGUGUUGGCUUUCUAACCCGCACCACUUAUCGUGGUGGGAGACAGUGUCAGGCGGGCAGUUUGACUGGGGCGGUCGCCUCCUAAAAGGUAACGGAGGCGCUCAAAGGUUCCCUCAGAAUGGUUGGAAAUCAUUCAUAGAGUGUAAAGGCAUAAGGGAGCUUGACUGCGAGACCUACAAGUCGAGCAGGGUCGAAAGACGGACUUAGUGAUCCGGUGGUUCCGCAUGGAAGGGCCAUCGCUCAACGGAUAAAAGCUACCCCGGGGAUAACAGGCUUAUCUCCCCCAAGAGUUCACAUCGACGGGGAGGUUUGGCACCUCGAUGUCGGCUCAUCGCAUCCUGGGGCUGUAGUCGGUCCCAAGGGUUGGGCUGUUCGCCCAUUAAAGCGGUACGCGAGCUGGGUUCAGAACGUCGUGAGACAGUUCGGUCCCUAUCCGUCGUGGGCGUAGGAAAUUUGAGAGGAGCUGUCCUUAGUACGAGAGGACCGGGAUGGACAUACCUCUGGUGUACCAGUUGUCGUGCCAACGGCAUAGCUGGGUAGCUAUGUAUGGACGGGAUAAGUGCUGAAAGCAUCUAAGCAUGAAGCCCCCCUCAAGAUGAGAUUUCCCAACUUCGGUUAUAAGAUCCCUCAAAGAUGAUGAGGUUAAUAGGUUCGAGGUGGAAGCGUGGUGACACGUGGAGCUGACGAAUACUAAUCGAUUGAAGACUUAAUCAA
rnacentral:rRNA from 1 species